rnacentral:miRNA from 1 species
AUCCCAUAUAUAAAUCCCCUUAAAUACAUGCAACUAUGUAUGCAACUAUGAGAACAUAGUUUCAUAUAUUUAAGGGGAUUUAUAUAUGGGAU